AUUGGAAACUGGAUGACUGGAGUGAGAUAGAGGGUAGUGGAAUUCCGGGUGUAGAAGUGAAAUGCGUAGAUAUCGGGAGGAACAUCCGUGGCGAAGGCGACUACCUGGACCAGCACUGACACUGAGGCACGAAAGCGUGGGGAGCAAACA
rnacentral:rRNA from 1 species